UGUAUUUUGUUGACCAAAUUUUAUUGAAUCCCCCCCAGAUAGUUUUAGAGAGUGCGCCUCCUCAAGGCCUUGUCAUCGGCCCAUAACAUCAGGGCAUGAAUCAGAACAAAAAUAAUAAAAGUGAGAAAAUUCCGACAUUUGGUCCUUCGAACCGGAUGACAAGUGCUCUCUAGAGCUUGAAGGGAAAUUUCAAUAAAGUAUGGUCUAUAGGGUAGCCCUGAUAGGACACAGUCAGCUCCCACCGAAUCUGCCACAGUGUUCAGAUAACCAGAUUGAGAUCUAUAGAAGGCCAGGAGGUCUGGUCAGUCAAUUUUUAGAUAGUAGUCUAUCAUUCUGGCAGAGACGGUAUGAGUUGGUCGUGUUAUAUAUAGGAGGAAACGACCUGGCAAUCGAUCACCCCAAAACCGUUUGGGAUGAUUAACGUACUCUUAUUGAACGCUUGAGGAAAAUUUGUGAAAACAUUGCUAUCUGCGACGCAGAGAUCAGAGAGUAUCUCCCUGAUAAUCGUUUUGCUAUCAAUUCCGUUGAAUAUGUCAAUAAAGUAGAGAACUUUAAUGCGAGAAUCUCCAAAUACUGCUACAAAAGAAGUCGGUACGGAGUCCGACACUUGCCUAUGAACUCUCGUGCCUACCAGCGAAGGCAAACAAAGGGACGGAGUCCAUUUUGAUUCAGAAAUCCGUAACGCGUUCCUCAAUCGUUUGAUGAGAUUGAUCAGGAGAGAGACAGACAAAACAACUAGGCUCAGCUUGUUCCGAUGUGCAAUUAGCCACACGUGCCACUAGUCUUUGUACCCCGUCUUCCUAACGUAAGAAAAAUCCUCAUUUCCUAGUUUGUAUAACCCCCCCCCAUAAGAAGUAGAGUAAAUAAUCCAAAAUGGCAGUGGCUAUGAUUGUCCACAUAGAGGCCUCGCCGAGUCUCACAGCAGACUUACUGGCCGAAUCACAGCGUGCGUUAGUAGAAACUUAUUCUGAGCGUGUACCAAAAUUUGGUCACGCAGUUGAGACAAGAAGGUCAGCUUCGAGAGUUGUACAAACGUCAAGUCGUAAAGUUAGAAUCUAGCUUAGAUGCCAGAAUCAGGCAAUCCUUAGCAGAAGCUGUGCGAGCUUCUACCCUUUUCUUGAAUUGAAUCGAUAAACAAAGUCACUCAGACAGGGAAUGUUUCCCUCCCCAAAUUGAAACUGCUGCCUCUCCCCACUUUUGAAGGGGAAGUGCAGGAAUAUGCUUCUUAGAGAAUUGUUCACGAUCCACGUGGAUCGAAGGGGAGAUUUGGACGACGUCCAAAUUUACUUACUUGUUAGGGACUCUGGGCAGGGAUCCGCUUAGGAUUGUUAAAUCCCUAAGUGUAACCGCCGCGAAUUACAAGGUAGCGUUAGAUCUCUUGGAUAAGCAAUAUGGUAAUGUACACCAAACGCUUGUGAUCUUGCAUCGAAAACUUGCCAACAUAUUCGUACCCUCGUUGAACCCCGUAGAGUUGAAGAAGUUCAGGUUUGAGUUAACAGUGAUCAUUGAGCAAAUAAAGAGGCUCAGUACUAAUGAUAUAGGCCAUGGCAUGGUCAUGAGUCUUAUCAAUCAGAAGUUGUCAGAAGGUAAGCUCUAUCGAAAGGUGGUCGAACACCUCAGAAAAUGCGACUAUAGUUUAGAAGAAUUUUUUGAAGCUAUAGACUUCAUAAUUCGCAUGUUGGAAGAUGACGCGUUACAGCGAGGCGAGAAAUUAGAAUCUGAUAAGAAAAACAAUGUCAGUGUUAGACCCAAAACGAAACCCAUGCAGAAUAAUUCUUGUCCCUUUUGCAAUGAACGGCACCCGCCUCAUGGAUGCCGCCGAGUAAGUGAUGUGGCUGCCAGACACCGCAUUUUACUAAGGAAGGGCCUGUGUUUUAAUUGCCUUCAGUCAGGUCACCAUAGUGAUAGAUGCCCUAACCCCAAUUCAUGUAAAAGUUGUGGAAAUAAUCAUAAUACUUCCAUUUGUGAUAAUGGCAGCUUCAGAAAAGCACAUUCAGUUCCCUCCACUUCGUCCCGAAAUCAUCCCAGUUUAGUAAGUAACAGUCAAGCUACAACCUCCCACCCUGUAGUAAAUGCAACGCCCAGGCAGCACGAUAGAAACCCCCGUCCGCCCAAAGAGAAAGUAGAAUCAAAACCGUGUAAGAGCACCAAAGUAGCCCAAAUGUCUAGUGUAGAUCUUCCCUGUACGAUUUUGCCAACGGCCAUGGCCGAGAUCCAUCACAAGCAGGGGAGUAAACGGGUUCGCUUGUUUAUGGACACUGGGAGUCAAUGAAGCUUUAUCUCCGCUAAAACUGCAAAGCAAUUAGGCCUGCCAGUGGUAGGCAAAGUGGCGUUGAACAUUGCUCCCUUUGGUUCUUCAGAAAUCAGUGGCCAGUAUGACGUUGUGAGUUGCCGGGUAGAGAUGGGUAAUAGUAUUGUUCGAAUGAAACUAGUUGUUCACGAGAACGUAGACGUCCCAAUUCAUAACGCAGGUUAUGUAAGAGUAAGACAACACCUAGUAGGGAAGGGAGUCACGUUAGCAGAUCCUGACAGUAAGAGCGAUAAGUUACGAAACGUGCACAUUCUUGUGGGUGCAGACUAUUUUAAUUACUUCAUUAUUGGAGUAGAAAAGAUAGACGGGAUAAGUCUUUUUCUGACCCAUAAUGGCAUGUCGCCAUAUGGGAGAGUGCCACAGUGGCUAUUAGAAGGUCACAAGAUAGAUCAAGUGAGAACGCUCAGGGUAUGUAGGGUCGCGAGCGAACCAAUUGCAUUUGAUGUUGAUGAAUGGUGGCGUUUGGAUAACGUAGGCAUCGCCCCAUCCGAGCAGUACACUGUCCGCGAAGCGGAAGCCAUGCGAAAGGUUUCGCAGAGUGUAACGAAGAAGCCUGAGGGAUAUCAGGUUAGUUUGCUGUUCCGUUCAGAAGGUAGGCCAGAAACAAACUUUAGAAAUGCUGUAGCACAGCUGGAUUCACUGCAAACCAAAUUUCAGAAAGACAAGGAAUACUAUAAUCAAUAUCAGGGAGUGAUCGACAAAUACCUGGAGGCAGGAUUUAUAUAUGAAGUAAAAGAUCCAAAAAUAGAAGGAUACUACAUGCCGCAUUUCGGCAUUAAAAAAGAUAGCCGCACGACCCUCCUUAGAAUCGUAUUCAAUGCCUCAUCCAAAGCUAAGAAUAAUAAAUCCUUAAAUGAAUGCCUGUUACCUGGGCCUAAUUUAGUAGAGUUGGCCUAUAAUUUGCUUCUAAAGUUUCGAAUGAAUAAAUACGCCAUGCUUGCAGACAUAAGCAAUGCAUUUCAUAGAGUACUAUAGAUCCCCGUGAUGCCAAAUAUACAAGAUUCCUGUGGCGAGAGGUAGCAGGUCGAGCGCUGACCUUCGCUUUCAGGGUCGUGGUGUUCGGCAUCACGGCUAGUCCCUUUUUGUUACAACAAGUAUUGAGUCAUCAUUUUAGUUUAGAAGGAAGACCUGAAUUAAGCAAGUCAUUUUAUGUUGAUAACUAUGUUAGUACCUUUGAAAGUCUGGAUGAGAUGAAAAAAAAACAAGAAUCUGUCCAUGCAAUUUUGGAUAGGGCCAGAAUGCCGUUAGAAGGGUGGGUAACGAACAGUAUAGCCUUCGAUAGCGAGAGAGAGUGGAAAGAACCUGUGAAUGUGAGCGUGCCUGGGCUGAGAUGGGCUCGAGACGUUGACUGUCUGUGUGUGAAAGAGAGUGAGAGGAUUCGUGAAUUGGGGGAGGGAUGGGUACCUACGAAACAUAGGGUACUAUCUUUGCUAGUGUCAAUUUACGAUCCGCUAGGUUUAGUCAGUCCUUUAUUUGUUAGGGGAAAGCUGUUUCUCCAACAACUUUGGGAACAAGAGAUUGGAUGGGAUGACGUGUUAUGUAAGGAAAAGGCUAAAGAAGCGCGAGAACUGUUAGCAGAGUUGAAAUCAGUCAGUGAUUUAGAAGAUCCUAACUCCAUAUAUUCACCGAUGCCAGUAGUAGGGCAUACGGUGCUGUAGCGUAUGUCAGAGAUAAAGAAAGUAACGUAAUAUUACUCACCAGCAAAAUGAGAAUCACUCCGAAAGGGAUGCUCAAAAUCACCAUCCCUAAAUUAGAACUUUUAGCUUUGCUGCUAGGUUUUAGGCUAGCAAAAACGAUUAAAGGGCUAAUAGAGCCACAAGAGAUUAGUAGGUAUCUGGUCAGAUAGCAAAGUUGCAUUAGCCUGGGUGGCAUCCCCGGAUGCCAAGGACAACAAAAAUAUCUUUAUAUCUAACCCUGUGGUGGAAGUUUUUUUUCUCCGCCAGAUUUGUGAUUUCAGUGUGAAGUAUGUGCCCAGCAAACAGAAUCCUGCUGAUGUCUUGUCUAGGGGCGCAACAAUCCAGCAAUUGCAGCAGAACCCUCUUUGGCGCAAGGGUCCACAGUUCUUGGGAAUCCUUUCAAAGAGGCAGAUCUAAUGAAUAUCAGAACCGUGGUAGCGGCGGUGCAGGAACUGAGGGAAGAAACAAGAAAUGCUGGACGCCGGGCCUGAGGUCUAUUGCUAAGCAAGUUGUACGGAAGUGUCCAGAGUGCGUGCUAGCCUUCCAACCGCUGAUGAGACAACCACCACCACCCCCCCCUACCGAAGGAAAGGAUCACCUUGCAGAAUCCUUUUGCCGCAGUCGGCGUGGACCACACUGCGGCCAUACAAACAGAAACUCGACCAGGCUAUAUCCUCAUCGUGGAAGUGGAGGAAUUUGUUCUAGCUUUUCGAAGAUUCAGUGCUACGCAUGGAGCCCCGACCUUAAUCACUUCUGAUAACCACCAAACGUUCAAGACGGCCAGCAACCUCCUUCAGGGACUAAAUUUAUGAAGAGGAUGAAGUCCAGCAGUUCCUGAGGAGGACUGGCGUAGAAUGGCUAUUUCAAACCCCCCGUGCACCGUGGAAAGGCGGUUUUUUCGAACGUCUGAUUGGUGUUACGAAGAGUGCCCUUCAGAUUGCCCUUGGGAGAAAGUAUCUGCCGGAGGCCCACGUAUUAACUCUAGUGAAACAGGCGGAGGCGGUAGUUAAUAAUAGGCCGUUGAUGUAUAGCGGUGACAAGUGCGAGGACGAGGUCCUCACCCCCUCUCAUUUAGUGCGAGGUCACUUAAUUAACUUAAUGGCACCUGUUUUGCCAGAUGAAGACCUUAAUGCUACCUUCACCUCCCGGAGGCUACAGGAUCGAUAUCUAAAGCUAACAGACACUUUGAAAGCCUUCCGGGAGAGGUGGAGGAAGGAGUACCUAAGUGCCCUAAGAGCCCGACACAAUUGUCAGUCUGGGGAACCCACCAAGCUGCACCCUGGAGACAUCGUGUUAGUAAAGCAAGAAAAUCAAAAGCGGGCAACGUGGCCCCUUGGACGCGUCGUGGAGACGUACCCGGACGAGACGGUGUCGUGCGUUCGGCCAAGGUAUUGUUCGAAGAUGUUGAGUCCCUGCGUGCUGUCAGCCACUUGGUCCCCCUGGAACUUGCCCCCUCAGAUGACGAUGAUGGCGUUGGAGACGAACAGCAUGACGAUGUUGAUGGUGCGACGGAGGAGAUGGUGCGUGAUGACGACAGCAACGAAGAGGUCUGAGACGAGGGAGCGUACAGCCCAGCAGUAGGUGUUCCAGGAAAUGUUGUGACGUCUGGGGACGACAAAGGGAUGGCACUGGCUGCAACAUCCGAACAACCAGCCACAAAGGUCUUGAGUGACGUAGAAGACACUGACGAUAUUGGUAACGAUUUGAGCGAUACCAAUGCGGUAAGUGAGAGUGCUGAAGUGAAUGAUACUGAGGUAUCGAGUGGUAGUGACUUUGACGUUCAGUUAGGCGGACAAAGACGUUCCGCACGCCCUUUGAGAAAGGCUGCUGCUAAGCAGCGCGAGAGAAUGAAGCGCUUAAUGGAAAGCGACUAUAUCUAAGUUAUAGCUAGAAACAGUGAAAGAAAACGGGAAGGUCCCUUAUUCUGGUAGGCAGGGAGGGUGGACCCAAGUAAGUGUAGGUGAGUUGAAUCCUCAGAGGAUGGAAGUGCGUUGGAUUAGCGUAAGGUAGUGGGAGCCCCCCUCUUGUGCAAACAAGUCUAGCGUUGUGCGGAGAUAGCCCCCACCCUCAAGGUAAAUUACCAAAAUGUAUGAGUAAUGAGUACUUCUUAUAGAGAAGUGAAAGAGUUUUGAGGGCGUGUGUCCUGUGAAAGACUAUAUACUGAAUCAGUUGUAAUCUAUGUUUCAUUAAAGGCGAAUGGCCUGUCGAUCUGAUUAUGCUUGUUGCGCGCAUUCUGGAGUUGAUGAAGCACGCCUUCAAUAAUAACUCUAGAAUGUGUGCAACAAGCUUAAUGCGUGUUGCAUGAAGAAUGUUGAAGGCAGAGUGCCUUAAGAGUGUUCCUAUUUGAAUUUGAGAAAUGCUUAUUUAGUUGAAUAUAUUGCUUUAUAGAAGCGUGAGUUGAAGGUGAAGAGCCUAAUAUAGAAGUUUCUCUUGCAUGUUGUAUUGCAUUUUGAGGCGAGUGCCUAAAGUCUAUGCUUGUUGCAUACAAAGUUGUACAUACUUGACUGUUUCCUUUUUCAUGUCAUUGAUUGAGUAAAGGCAGAUUGCCUUAUGAGAGUGUAUAUUCAUGUUUCCUUGAUUGUGAUUUUCCAUUUAUGCUUUUGAUCUUAUUGCAGGCCCAUUGCCUAUUGAGUUUCUAUGCUGAAUCAUGUCUACCUUAUGUAUAUGGGUACAUUUAUAUAUAUAUAUAUAUAUCUGCCAUUGAUAUUUUAUUUGUAUAUGUGUGACAUUCAUUACCCCGGGUGUAAUAUUGAUGUAUUUUUUUUUUGCCAUGUCAUGUUUUUUGUGUACUGUUUGUCGCUGUGGAGCGCUACGCAGCGAGCCUGACUGAUUAGUGUAGGAGUGGUUACUCCUCCCCCGAGCUCAGUCUUUCCUGAAUUGUCCAACAUUUCAACGCCCCAUACUUCGGGUGUGGAGUAUGUUGGGAAUUUCGAACUGAUCAUUCGAAAUCCCCGCCAUUUAACUUCACAAGUGUUGCGUUAAAUUGGGGCAAGACUGAGGGAACUCGCGGGCAAUUCAUUGAGCAGAAAGCUGUCCAAUAUGCGACAGAGUUAAGACGUAAUUCUUAAAUGCCUGGCGGGGAAGGAGCGCAUCUUAUAGUAAUGAAGACACUAUGAAUUUUCAUUAAUGAAUAUGAUUUGCUAUUCCCUAGUACGAGCUAAAUUGUCUAUGUAGAGAUUUGGAGCCAAGGACUCCGUAGCCAUUCAAGAAUUUGCAGAUUACGGCCUUCAGCCAGAACUUUGAGUCAAUUCAUUGAUCACAGAUGAUAAUUUAACUGUCAUUCUUCCCAUUCACAAGUAAAGUAGAUUCAUUGAUCUCUGUAAUGCCUAAAUAAGCGAUGAUUCCCGCCUGAAUUACAAGGAUUCUGUAGUUUACGCGGGAAAGCGUAAGUUUCCUUUGAAGUAGGGCGAAGCAACGCCUCAUUCCUGCCCUAGUCCUGAACGUCGUAAGUACCAUGAUGUUUUAGUGUGUGUCUCGAUUCUCCGGCUCCCGGCUCCCAGCCAUCGCCAUGCUAGGUCGAAUUCUGUCGUAACUGUAAGUUAUCUUUAUCCAUGUAUAGAUGUGUCAUCCCUGCGAUGAGGGACUUGAUUUGCGCAGCAAACGAAAGCUGCAAGUGUAAUAAAGUCGUUUAUUUGUGAUUUAGAGUAAAUGGGUCUCGAUUUAUUGUGUUUUUUCGUCCAGUAGUGGACUUAGUGCUUUUCAAGCACAUAUCAAAGACCCUAAGGACUACCACGUAACAAAGCCAUGAGAGCUUUCAGGUUCCUUGAAUUGAAUUAAUGAGAGUAGUAAGAAACUGCGUGUGCAGUGGAAUUUUGCUAGUAACUUCAAUUUCAGUGUUGGUUCUUAAUGCACAUUGGCUUAGCCGCCCGUGAUGCUCUUUCAUUCAUGUUCAGUGUAUUGUUAAUGUGUUAAAAUGUUUAUUUUUUGUAAUAAAACUAUUUUGUU